rnacentral:lncRNA from 1 species
CUCCCCAAAGUUCUCUUUUGACUUGCGAAUAUGCACGCUGACGAAUACUUAAAACUUUAGCUCCAAAUCGAACUGCAAAUCUACUCCCAUUUGAAUCAUCUUGACCCACAGUCCAUCCAAUGGCAAUUGGACUAGCGUCCACAGUAAGAAUCACUGGUCUAUUGCACUUAUAGUCAACCUUCCUCAAUAUUGGAGGUGACAUCAAUAAUUUCUU